CGCAUCUGUGCAUGCAGCAUAUCAAUAAGCGGAGGAAAAGAAACUAACAAGGAUUCCCCUAGUAACGGCGAGUGAAGCGGGAAGAGCUCAAAUUUGAAAUCUUAAAGGGUUUCCCUUUACGAAUUGUAGUUUAAAGAAGUGUUUUCUGUUGAGGUUUUGGUAAAAGUUCUUUGGAAUAGGACAUCACAGAGGGUGAGAAUCCCGUAUUUGACCUUUACUUUCAACUUUGUGAUACACUUUCAAAGAGUCGGAUUGUUUGGGAAUGCAGUCCGAAAUGGGUGGUAAAUUUCAUCUAAAGCUAAAUAUUGGCGAGAGACCGAUAGCGAACAAGUACCGUGAGGGAAAGAUGAAAAGAACUUUGAAAAGAGAGUUAAACAGUACGUGAAAUUGUCAAAAGGGAAGCGUUUGACACCAGUGUUGUUUUUCUGAAAAUCAAUUAAAGAACUGUUUAUGCUAAGUUGUUUAGACUUUAUCAGCUAACUGUUUAGUUUUGAGCUUUUCUUUAAUGCACUUUUCAGUUAACAAGUCAACAUCAAUUUCUUUUGCUGUAAAAAAGCUUGAGGAAGGUGGCUUGAGAUUCGUCUUAAGUGUUUAUAGCCUCUUGCCUAUGCAGUCGGAGAGAUUGAGGUCUGCAGCGUAGAUCCUUCGGGGCUAAAUGCAUUUGUGCUAAGUUAUAGCAUUUUAUAGACAACUUGUUGACUAUGAUUUGUCUUGUAGCUUACUCGCUUAUGUUAUUUUACCUACGCUUAGGAUGUUGAACGCGCACAGAGUCUC
rnacentral:rRNA from 1 species